CAAAUCAUCAUGCCCUUAUGUCUGGGCUACACACGUGCUACAAUGGCCGGUACAGACGGACGCAAAGCCGCGAGGUGGAGCAAAUCCUAAAAAGCCGGUCUCAGUUCGGAUUGCCAGGCUGCAAUUCGCCUGCAUGAAGUCGGAAUCGCUAGUAAUCGCAGGUCAGCAUACUGCGGUGAAUACGUUCCCGGGCCCUU
rnacentral:rRNA from 1 species